GACAUUUGGUAGAGACUGUUGAAGCCACCUGGUCCCAGCAGACCCCAGAAGGCAGCCAAAUUUGCUGGUGCUGGGGCAAGGUCAUUAAGGGUGAAGCCUGGUGCCAGAUGUGU
rnacentral:rRNA from 1 species